GACGAACGCUGGCGGCGUGCUUAACACAUGCAAGUCGAACGGUGAAGCGCCUUCCUUUUUGGUGGGUGUGGAUGAGUGGCGAACGGGUGAGUAACACGUGAGUAACCUGCCCCCUUCUUCUGGAUAACCGCAUGAAAGUGUGGCUAAUACGGGAUAUUCUGGGUCUGUCGCAUGAUGGGUCUGGGAAAGAUAUUGUUUCGGUGGGGGAUGGGCUCGCGGCCUGUGAGCUGGUUGGUGGGGUGAGGGGCUACCAAGGGGGGGACGGGUGGCCGGCCUGGGAGGGUGGACGGUCUCACUGGGACUGCGGCCCGGCCCAGACUCCUACGCGAGGCAGCAGUGGGGAAUAUUGCACAGUGGGCGCAAGCCUGAUGCAGCGACGCCGCGUGAGCGAUGGAGGCCUUCGGGUUGUGAACCUCUUUCGCCAGUGAAGCAGGCCUGCCUCGUUUGUGGGUGGGUUGACGGUAGCUGGAUAAGAAGCGCCGGCUAACUACGUG
rnacentral:rRNA from 1 species